rnacentral:rRNA from 1 species
AACGAACGCUGGCGGCAGGCCUAACACAUGCAAGUCGAGCGCGCCCUUCGGUGUGAGCGGCGGACGGGUGAGUAACGCGUGGGAACGUGCCCUUUUCUACGGAAUAGCCUCGGGAAACUGAGAGUAAUACCGUAUACGCCCUUUGGGGGAAAGAUUUAUCGGAAAAGGAUCGGCCCGCGUUGGAUUAGGUAGUUGGUGGGGUAAUGGCCUACCAAGCCGACGAUCCAUAGCUGGUUUGAGAGGAUGAUCAGCCACACUGGGACUGAGACACGGCCCAGACUCCUACGGGAGGCAGCAGUGGGGAAUCUUAGACAAUGGGGGCAACCCUGAUCUAGCCAUGCCGCGUGAGUGAUGAAGGCCUUAGGGUUGUAAAGAUAUUUCAGCUGGGAAGAUAAUGACGGUACCAGCAGAAGAAGACCCGGCUAACUCCGUG